CAGACAUGUUGCAGCUGUGGCGUCCAGAUGCACGGAUUAAAAAGAACUGCGAUAUUUCAGACGGUCUAGUGCCUGAAGAACCGUCUCCAACUGAUUUUUGCCAGAGCUGAAAUCCAAAUUGAGCUGAUAUGCUGCAGUCUGCCAAAACAGCUAAAGGAAGUGUUGCUGCCAUUUCUUGGAGGAUGGCAGGUCUGGCUCAGCUGUGGCCCUCAGCAGUCAGCAGCAUCAGCAGUCAGUAGCGGCACAGAAUCCAGCUGAAACUGCACCACAGCCUGUUUCAGCAUUCUGAUGAAAUUACACUGAUUUAAUUUCCACGCUGUGAAGACAUUUGGCACAACUUGGACCCCAUCCCUGACAUCUUCAUUGGAGGCCAAAUUGAAUGAAGAAGAAAUGCACCAAUAUUUCAGCGUGGAUGCUUCCAAUCUCUGUUUCAUUUUUUUUUCACAGAGACAUUAUUUUCUAUAAGCAGCCCCUUGCAUAAGGUGAGCAGAAAGGUCCAUGUCUCAAUUGUUUUAAACACAUGUACAAAAAUGCUUUGAGCCAGGGAAGCUCAGCUGUAGCAAAGUUUGGCACCAACAACUCACCAUAUACCUGCACCAUCCUGUGCAAUUUAAUUGGCAUUCAGUGGGUUGAUAAAUGGAUUGGCUUAAUGGGACAAUAUACUUGACAUAUGCAGGGCUCUCCUGAGGAAUAGGAUUCAUUUUUGUACUUCACACAUCAACAUGCAGCAGAUACCAACACUGUCUCCUCCAACAGCUGUGCUAUAGCCAAUGACAUCCAAUCAGUUUCAACAGCCAAUGAUAUUCCUGCCAGCCUCACAGCCCACUGACUCUCUCCAUGGGGUUAGAGCUCAAUCAAGAUAAGAAAAAAAUACUGCAUAGAUUUUUGUCUCGUGGCAGGAUAUAUUAGCUUGGCUAGAAUACUAAAAAAGCUUGCAUAAUCUACUACAAAAUUUGAAUGACAAAAAUAUGAAUGAAUGUCCCAGGAAUGAAGCCUUACCAAACUUGUAACAGAGCAAGAAUGUGAACAACAAUAUGAAGACAUUUAUAUACUGUAUGUAUUUAAUUCAUAUCAGUAGCAUCUGUGAUGAGUGAGAGACAUCCUCACUCUUUAGAGUCAGAUCUCAAAGGUCGCUAUGGUGCAGACCAACAAACUUAAUCAACAAACAAAAGACAGUGUCAACAAACAAGGGAGUGGCAUUUUUUUCUCAGCCUACGUAAUAAAAAAUGAAUUAUUGUAAGGUUGAGAUAAGCGUGACACCCAAAGGAGAGUGCAGCUUAGUGUCUUGAAACAUCGUAUAUUUCUGAGGUUAAGUACAGCCAGGAAUAGAGGAUUGUUAAUCGUAUGAUUUCUAGUACCAUUGUAUCUUCGUAAUGCAAAAGAAAUACUUAAGUAGUGUGAAUGUGUGGCAUUAGAAUUCUUUCCUGGUCUGGUUAAAGGUCAUUAAAGGUAUUUUAAACAUAAACAUUCACAGUAACUUCGAGGGAAGAUGAGGACAUGGGUAAUUUAAUGUAAAUCUUAAGAGCUGACCUGGACAGAGUCCACAUAUAGUACUUUCUUUCAAAAUGUUACUAAAUAAAUUCUGCAGGUCAUCAUGAGGUCAAGUAAAACAAGUAAGAAGUAGAGUUAAUACAGCCCCAUGUCCUUCCUUCGGAUUCUGAAUGGGUGCCUAUCUGAAGCUUAUAAUUGUGCUCAUUGAAUAGCUCAUACGCAAAUAAGGCCCAAGGAAAAAAGAGAAAGAGAAAGAAAUAGUGUGUGACAGAUUCUAAUUACUGCAUAACAACAACAUAUGGAAACUUCAUUGUCCAUUUCAUCCCUCAACAUGUACUAUCAAGUCACAUUUCUUUUGCUCAAUCAUUCUCUCUGGAGCAUUUGGAGCUGUUUCAUUUAUGUGUGAUGAGCAAAAACAACACUUGAUGGGGUCGCAUGAUAAUUUUAUUUACUGGAUCUGCCUUCAGAGCUCAUUAAUUCCUGUGGCUUUUUGUUUUUCUCAUUUUCGCUUAAACUGUAGUACUGUUCAGUUCUGAGGAUCCUGGUUUCGUUUAUUACUAUUAUAACUAUAAUGGUUUCACAUAAUUGUGUUUUCCUUUCUGCAUAUUUUUUCAAAAAGAGAAGUUAGGGAACAAGUAUUUCCAAGCUGAACAGAUUAUUUGCAGUAACAGUACAAUGAAACUAAGGAAUCGAGCAAAAGAAUAAACAAUAUCAUUUAA